AGUAAAUAGAUACCCGGGUAGUCCACGCCGUAAACGAUGAGUACUAGGUGUAGGAGGUAUCGACUCCUUCUGUGCCGCAGUUAAACACAAUAAGUACUCCGCCUGGGAAGUACGGUCGCAAGAUUAAAAACCUCAAAGGAAUUGACGGGGGUCCCGGCACAAGCAGCGGAGCAUGUGGUUUAAAACUUCGAAGCAACGCGAAGAACCUUACCUAGACUUGACAUCUCCUGAAUAGUGUAGAGAUACAUGAAGCCCUUCGGGGUCAGGAAGACAGGUGGUGCAUGGUUGUCGUCAGCUCGUGUCGUGAGAUGUUGGG
rnacentral:rRNA from 1 species